CCUAGCGGCAGGCCUAAUACAUGACAACUCGAGGGGCAGCCACGGGACUUCGGUUCUGGUGGCGACCGGCGCACGGGUGCGUAACGCGUAUGCAACCUACCCACAACAGGAGGAUAGCCCUCGGAAACGAGGAUUAAUAUUCCAUAAAACAGGGGUACUACCUGGUACUAUUUGUUAAAGCUUCGGUGGUUGUGGAUGGGCAUGCGUCCCAUUAGCUAGAUGGCGAGGUAGCGGCUCACCAUGGCGAUGAUGGGUAGGGGUUCUGAGAGGAUGAUCCCCCACACUGGUACUGAGACACGGACCAGACUCCUACGGGAGGCAGCAGUAGGGAAUAUUGGGCAAUGGGCGAAAGCCUGACCCAGCCAUGCCGCGUGAACGAAGAAGGCUCUCGGGUCGUAAAGUUCUUUUAUACGGGGAGAACACUGCUAUGCGUAGCAGCUUGACGGUACCGUAUGAAUAAGCACCGGCUAACUCCGUGCCAGCAGCCGCGGUAAUACGGAGGGUGCAAGCGUUGUCCGGAUUUAUUGGGUUUAAAGGGUACGUAGGCGGCUUAUUAAGUCAGUGGUGAAAGUUUGCAGCUUAACUGUAAAAGUGCCAUUGAUACUGGUAAGCUUGAGUACUGUAGAGGUGGGCGGAAUUCCGCAUGUAGCGGUGAAAUGCAUAGAUAUGCGGAGGAACACCAAAAGCGAAGGCAGCUCACUGGACAGUACUGAC
rnacentral:rRNA from 1 species